AUGUGCAGCUUAUGUAGUUUCUGUAUUUUUGUUAAAGCAUGGAGUAGCUUCUAUAGUUUCUGUAUUUCUGUAUUUUCAUUAAAGCAUGGAGUAGCUUCUAUAGAUUCCUCACAAGUUAAUGCUUCGCUCGUCCGGGUGUGUGAUAAUGCCAUUUGUCUUGUGCAAUCAGAUUACAUUUCUGUUUGUUAUGGUAAUAUAAAAAAUAUUCGUGCUGUCAAAAUUUUCACAGUGCGUGUCUUUCAUUUCUUUAAUUUGAUUGUUUCCCUUGUAUUCAAUAUGCUUCUAGUGGCUGAUCCUUCCAUUUUUGUUGUGGCAUCUUUAUUUUCACAGGUGUUGUGUGUUCUGGAAGAUGGAAGAGGAAGAAAUUGUUGA
rnacentral:rRNA from 1 species